CGUCUAUAUACGUAUAGCAUAUCAAUAAGCGGAGGAAAAGAAACUAACUAGGAUUCCCUCAGUAACGGCGAGUGAAGCGGGAAGAGCUCAAAUUUGAAAUCUUCAAGGUUCUACCUUGACGAAUUGUAGUUUAAAGAAGUGUUUUCUGUUGGAGUUUUGGUAAAAGUUCUUUGGAAUAGGACAUCAUAGAGGGUGAGAAUCCCGUAUUUGACCAUUAUUUCCAACUUUGUGAUACACUUUCAAAGAGUCGGAUUGUUUGGGAAUGCAGUCCAAAAUGGGUGGUAAAUUUCAUCUAAAGCUAAAUACUGGCGAGAGACCGAUAGCGAACAAGUACCGUGAGGGAAAGAUGAAAAGAACUUUGAAAAGAGAGUUAAACAGUACGUGAAAUUGUCAAAAGGGAAGCGUUUGACACCAGUGUUGUUUUCUCGAAAAUCAAUUAAAAAUGGCAGGAUUUUGUGUUGUAUUGACUUUAUCAGCUUUCUGCACUUUUUUCUUGUCUUUUUUAAUGCACUUUUCGUUUAACAAGUCAACAUCAAUUUCUUUUGUUGUAAAAGGGUCAUUGGAAGGUGGCUUUCUUUUCGGAGAAAGUGUUUAUAGCCUUUGGCCUCUGCAAUCGGAGAGAUUGAGGUCUGCAGCGUAGAUCCUUCGGGGUUAGAUACAUUUGUGCUAAGUUAUAGCCUUUCAUAGACAACUUGUUGACUAUGAUCAGUCAUGUAGCUUACUCGCUUAUGCUAUUUUACCUACGCUUAGGAUGUUGAUCUGUAGUGCGUGCG
rnacentral:rRNA from 1 species